AACGCACCUUGCACUCUUUGGUAUUCCGAAGAGUAUGUCUGUUUGAGUGUCGUGAAACUCUCAACCCCCCUAUUUUGUAAUGAAAUAGGCUGCGGGCUUGGAUUAUGGCUGUCUGUCGGAUCUCAAUUGACCGACUCGGCUGAAAUAUACGAGCGAUCCAGUGUGCAUACUAAUGCAGCAACGGUUUGACUUGGCGUAAUAAUACUAUUCGCUGAGGACGUAGCAGUGACUAGUAACGACAUUACCGCUUCUAAUGCGACUGUAUAGUCAUUUAAUCUCUAGACCUCAAAUCAGAUAGGACUACCCGCUGAACUUAA
rnacentral:misc_RNA from 1 species